GACGAACGCUGGCGGCGUGCUUAACACAUGCAAGUCGAACGGAAAGGCCCUGCAUUUGUGGGGUGCUAGAGUGGCAAACGGAUGAGUAACACGUGAGUAACCUGCACUUGACUUUGGGAUAACUUCAGGAAACUGGGGCUAAUACCGGAUAGGAGCUCCUGCUGCAUGGUGGGGGUUGGAAAGUUUCGGCGGUUGGGGAUGGACUCGCGGCUUAUCAGCUUGUUGGUGGGGUAGUGGCUUACCAAGGCUUUGACGGGUAGCCGGCCUGAGAGGGUGACCGGCCACAUUGGGACUGAGAUACGGCCCAGACUCCUACGGGAGGCAGCAGUGGGGAAUAUUGCACAAUGGGCGGAAGCCUGAUGCAGCAACGCCGCGUGCGGGAUGACGGCCUUCGGGUUGGUAACCGCUUUCGCCUGUGACGAAGCGUGAGUGACGGUAAUGGGUAAAGAAGCACCGGCUAACUACGUG
rnacentral:rRNA from 1 species